AUACAGCUGUAGUUGCAAACAUUUCCUCGGUUAUACGUAAGUUACAUAACUCAAGAGAGAGGGUUGCUCAUCCGUGUAUUUUCUGUUGGACACUUGGAGCUAGAAAGCACAGCACAGAGCAUUCACUAGGAGAAUUUAGAGCUGCAAGGAUUUGAUCAACUGUCAACCAUGAUAUCUUCCCUUUUUGUAAAAAUGUAUAUUAUCUCACCAUCUGCUUUCCCGUGUUGCUUUGCAAUCUUCAUUACCUUUGUUCUGCACGUGGAAAACUCCUGUGUUCUUGAGAAGGGCAACUUCCAAGGAGUGUCUUACUGGAAAGUACUGGAGGGUACACAAGAGCACUGGAAAUAGCCUGAAAUUGCAUGAAGGUUUAUGGGACACCAUUGGCUGACAACUCAAAAUUCCUGGAUUCUACUGGCUUCCAAAAUUCAGGAACAGUGGGAAGUAAGAUGCAUCCUUUGAAACUUGAUGGUGCCCUAAGGAGAAGUGUUAGCGUGGUGAGUGAAUCCUUUACACGUCAGUUCUUCCAGUGAUGGCAGAGCACUCCUUGGUAUAAGGUAAGACGCGAGGAAGCUGAAAGAACAUAAGCUACACGAGGUAAGAAGAACUGGGUUUGAAUUCCAGUUUACUCAGAGGUAUACAUUUGAGAACAAAAGUUAAACUUUCUGUGGCUCUCCAUUCUAACUUGUAAGGUGAGGAUACCAAUAGUGAUAUGUCUAAGAAUGUGUAUGUGUUAAAUUAGACAACAUGCGAUGCUGGCUACUAUAUUGCUGAUAGUCAAUAAAUGUCCAUGUUUUGGUGCAUUUAUCGAUUAUCUCACCCAUAACUUUGUAAAAAAAAAGAAUGCUUCAUCUGAUUCUGUCAGUAGUCAACAAGCUGGCACUGGGCAUCUGCUAUAUGUAGGCUCUGCAAUGCAAGCCUCCUCUCUCACCAAAUUCGUAGACUAGUGUAUAUUACAUUUCAGAAUUUUGGUUAAUGAAAAUGUUGGGCACAAAUGUAAUUCACACACAGCUCAGAUGUGUGUUAUCAAAGUGCUCUGUGCUAGUUGGUUCUCCAAUCUAACUUCUAACGGGAGGGUGGCCAUACACAGACUUUACAACAUUGAGAAUCAUUUACCAUCCACCUAUCCCCCCUUCUUGUUGCCAUCCUGAUUUACUCUUCACGCUGAGGUGUUUAUAAUGAGAUGAGAAUACUAAUAAUGACAAUUUUGUCAGGUAAAUAAUGUUCAGUUGCACUUAAUCUUAUUCCUUGAAUGACAUGUUUUCUUGUGAGAAGUGAAGCAAUGUCAGACUUGUGAACCAGAGUUUCACAUUCGAAACAAUGAGAAACCACAACUUCCCACCUCUGUAGCCAAGAGAAGGAAAUCGCUUUUUUCCAUAUGACUGUCAAGAAUAAGGAAAGGUAUCUGCAAAAUAUUCUAGUCAUGCCACUCCUAAUUUUUUUUUACUUUGAAGGGAGAUAACAUCAUAGGAUGCAAGAUGUAUGCAUCGUGGAAAUGAUGAGGCAAACGUCUAUUUCCACGUACAACAGUCUUGGAUCUCUGUGGGAGCAUAUUUGAGGGUCUCAGAUCUCUUGGAAUGCACACCGUGAUGUGCAGCAAGUCACACUUUAACACAAAACACUUAUUCAGCAUAAACCAGCUUCACAAGGGCUGCACUGCCCUUCCCCCUCACUUCCACUUUCCACCCUCCAGCCCUCCCUUGAGAAGAUGCACGCCUGUUCCAUUUGUGCUCAGCACCAGCGUUGCCAUGGAAACUUUCCUCUUUUUCUCUCCCCUCCUCAGUUACCAAGAACAGCCCUGGACUCGGUGCCAAGACCUCCUCUGUACAGACUCAAUAUCCUUUCAAUGUUUAGACAAAUCUGUUGGAAAACCUUGUUUACAUUUUUUUCCCACAACACCACAGCUUCAUGUCGGGGCCAUCCAUUUCCCAUGGACCUACCCAUGUUCUGGAGGUGAUUUCCCUGCCCUUUAUUCCACCAUUGCUGUAAAAUAAAAUUGCAUCAUUUGGUCCUAUUCUUACUAGGACAUAAAAGGUAACUCAAGGUCACAGAUUCUGCCCUGGCAGUUCUUUUUAUCCAGUCCAGUCCAGAGUGUAAUACUUUGUACACUAGACUUCUUGAAAACAAGAUUGUUUUGCAAAAAAAAUGUAGUGUUAACACAUAUUUAACAUAUUUAAAAACACAAAACUUUAAAAAAAUUGGCUCUGGUACCAUAUUUGUUACAAUACAUCCAUGGACUUAAGUUAUGCCAGGCAUUAGUAUUCAAAUAUGUAAAUAGUGUGUUGGCAUCACAUUGCUUAAAGCUACAGAUAUAUUUUAGGCUGCAGAUUUUCUGCAGAGUUAUAAUGUACUGUUUAUGGUCUAAUUCCUGAUUCUUACACUCAAAACAACAGUAAAAAAUAAUAUUAGUGGAACAGCAUUUCAUCUUUCUCAUUUAAAAAUUACCAACUAUGCCUGUGGAUUUCCUAAAUGUUAAAUUAGGUUUAGUAAAAAUAAAAUAACUUAUUUUGCUUUAUUGUAAGUUGAACAGUUCUGCCUGGUUGUCCCAUUACUCUGAAACAUCUCUUCAUUGUAAACACAUAACAUAAAAAACUUACUUGGGAAAGAAUUAUCUCUGAUCAACAGAAGGGGGAGCAAUAGUCCCUCCUUUUUGACACAAAAACCGUGGGGUUGUUUUCUCACUUUCUCCCUAAACACAAGCCUCUUCCCUCAUAAUAUCUGCUAUUGCUUUUCUUCCCCCCUUUUCUAUUUUGUUUUGAGGGGUGGUGGAGGAGGGGUGCCUAGCGGUGACAGAAGUAGGACCACCCAGUUCGAUCAAGGAAUCAAAGGUUAAAUUCUUUCUGGUUUGUUGUUAUCUCUCAGGAUAUAGUUAUACGUUAGAAAUACUUGUCUUCUACUGUAUAUUUUUCCUUGCAACAGUUCUUACGGGAAUAAAAUCCACUGCACCGCUUUACAGGGAAGCUUCGACAUUGUGCAAGCAGUGGAAGUGAAUGCAAGCAUUUUCCAGCCUGCCCUGAGAGAGCCUCCCUCCCAUUGUUUUCAUUCAGAGCUGACUAGGAACCGAGCACAUCUGAAUAACAGAGUCUUUUCUGCCUGGCGCAAUCCUGGAUUGUUACAGUCUAGAGGCCAGCCAUGCUGUCACCGGCACAAAUUGAUUUAACCAUCAAUUGCUGUGGUCAUUAAAGCUGCUAAAAGUCCCCGCCAAACUGAUGAAUUGCAACUGAAUGUGAAAUGAGUGUCUAAGUCUUUUUCCCACCACCUCAUAUCAAAGGCUAUUGUAUCCCUGCAAAGUAAAGGGUCGGAGGUUCAGGCUGUGGUUCAACAAUGGGCUCUGUCAAAGGACAGAGACCCAUUCACUCAGGCCCUCCCAAUUACAGUUUGCUUUCCAUACCGUAUUGUAUGAAAUUUGCAUCCAACUAAUACAUUGAAUUAUUGGCA